rnacentral:tRNA from 1 species
GCCAAGCUAGCUCAAUUUGUAGAGCAUGAGACUCUUAAUCACAGGGUCGUGGGUUCAUGCCCCACAUUGGGUG